AAAGAAAAGAAUCCUUCACAAAGCAGGCCGCAGGGACCGGAUGUCUUUAAGCAGCGACAGAAUUCGGUCCUAUGCUGUACUUCCUUCCUUCUCCUUCCUUUACAGGUGACAAAACCUCCCAGAUCUAAAAGUUGGAUAAAGUUAAAUAUCCUGCCUAAGGCAGAUGAAGGCAGCUGUGGCUAGGCCUCCACGGAACAUGGAAAGGGCUGCAAAGUCCAGGCAAAGAGCACUGGCUCCAGCCUCCACAAGUCCUCUGUCCUCCCCUCCAGCAGCACCAAGGACCACCAGGACUCGGGCUGUCAGCUGGCCUCUUCAGAACUCCUUCCUACAGGUCAAAUCUUCACCCUGGCAACCUCUCACCUUGACAACAGUUCUCCCCUCCCCUAGCCUGAAACCUGCUUGCUCGGGGUGGAGCUUCCUGCUCAUUCGUUCUGCCACGCCCACUGCUGGAACCUGAGGAGCCACACACGUGCACCUUUCUACUGGACCAGAGAUUAUUCGGCGGGAAUCGGGUCCCCUCCCCCUUCCUUCAUAACUGGUGUCGCAACAAUAAAAUUUGAGCCUUGAUCAGAGUAA
rnacentral:lncRNA from 1 species